rnacentral:ncRNA from 1 species
AAAAGUUCUACGGGGUAGCAGAACAAAGCGCGGGGUUAGCGUUGCCGGCACGUGGUUCGCGUGCCGGCUGCGGAGAGUCUGCAUGCACGGCGGGGCCAUCCAUCGUCGGAUAACAACAAGCAUGCAGGCCGACUUGCAGAUAAGCAGCGUUCCGUCGUCCGACCGGGGGAUGCAGUGAUCGGGCGGCGGCGGACGUUUUUUAAUC